CGAUAAAAGCAGGGGAUCGCAAGACCUUGCGCGAAUGGAGCGGCCGAUGGCCCAUUAGGUAAUUGGUGAGGUAAAGGCUCACCAGGCCUUUGAUUUGUAGUUGGUUUGAGAGGACGACCAGCCACACUGGAACUGAGACACGGUCCAGACUCCUACGGGAGGCAGCAGUGGGGAAUUUUGGACAAUGGGCGAAAGCCUGAUCCAGCAAUGCCGCGUGAGUGAAGAAGGCCUUCGGGUUGUAAAGCUCUUUUGUCAGGGAAGAAACGGUGUGGGCUAAUAUCCUGCACUAAUGACGGUACCUGAAGAAUAAGCACCGGCUAACUACGUGCCAGCAGCCGCGGUAAUACGUAGGGUGCAAGCGUUAAUCGGAAUUACUGGGCGUAAAGCGUGCGCAGGCGGUUUUGUAAGUUUGUCGUGAAAUCCCCGGGCUCAACCUGGGAAUGGCGAUGAAGACUGCAAGGCUAGAAUCUGGCAGAGGGGGGUAGAAUUCCACGUGUAGCAGUGAAAUGCGUAGAGAUGUGGAGGAACACCGAUGGCGAAGGCAGCCCCCUGGGUCAAGAUUGACGCUCAUGCACGAAAGCGUGGGGAGCAAACAGGAUUAGAUACCCUGGUAGUCCACGCCCUAAACGAUGUCUACUAGUUGUCGGGUUUUAAUUAACUUGGUAACGCAGCUAACGCGUGAAGUAGACCGCCUGGGGAGUACGGUCGCAAGAUUAAAACUCAAAGGAAUUGACGGGGACCCGCACAAGCGGUGGAUGAUGUGGAUUAAUUCGAUGCAACGCGAAAAACCUUACCUACCCUUGACAUGGACGGAAGCCACGAGAGAUCGAGGUGUGCUCGAAAGAGAACCGUCACACAGGUGCUGCAUGGCUGUCGUCAGCUCGUGUCGUGAGAUGUUGGGUUAAGUCCCGCAACGAGCGCAACCCUUGUCAUUAGUUGCUACGAAAGGGCACUCUAAUGAGACUGCCGGUGACAAACCGGAGGAAGGUGGGGAUGACGUCAAGUCCUCAUGGCCCUUAUGGGUAGGGCUUCACACGUCAUACAAUGGUACAUACAGAGGGCCGCCAACCCGCGAGGGGGAGCUAAUCCCAGAAAGUGUAUCGUAGUCCGGAUCGGAGUC
rnacentral:rRNA from 1 species